rnacentral:rRNA from 1 species
AACGAACGCUGGCGGCAUGCCUAACACAUGCCAGUCGAACGAGACCUUCGGGUCUAGUGGCGCACGGGUGCGUAACGCGUGGGAACCUGCCCUUAGGUUCGGAAUAACUCCCCGAAAGGGGUGCUAAUACCGGAUAAUGUCUUCGGACCAAAGAUUUAUCGCCUUUGGAUGGGCCCGCGUUGGAUUAGCUAGUUGGUAGGGUAAAAGCCUACCAAGGCGACGAUCCAUAGCUGGUCUGAGAGGAUGGUCAGCCACACUGGGACUGAGACACGGCCCAGACUCCUACGGGAGGCAGCAGUGGGGAAUAUUGGACAAUGGGCGAAAGCCUGAUCCAGCAAUGCCGCGUGAGUGAUGAAGGCCUUAGGGUUGUAAAGCUCUUUUACCCGGGAUGAUAAUGACAGUACCGGGAGAAUAAGCUCCGGCUAACUCCGUG